rnacentral:rRNA from 1 species
AUUGAACGCUGGCGGCAUGCUUUACACAUGCAAGUCGAACGGCAGCAUAGGUGCUUGCACCUGAUGGCGAGUGGCGAACGGGUGAGUAAUAUAUCGGAACAUGUCCGGAAGUGGGGGAUAACGUAGCGAAAGUUACGCUAAUACCGCAUAUGCCCUGAGGGGGAAAGGGGGGGAUCGCAAGACCUCUCGCUUUCGGAGUGGCCGAUAUCGUAUUAGCUAGUAGGUGAGGUAAAGGCUCACCUAGGCGACGAUCCGUAGCUGGUCUGAGAGGACGAGCAGCCACACUGGGACUGAGACACGGCCCAGACUCCUACGGGAGGCAGCAGUGGGGAAUUUUGGACAAUGGGCGCAAGCCUGAUCCAGCCAUGCCGCGUGAGUGAAGAAGGCCUUCGGGUUGUAAAGCUCUUUCAGCCGGAAAGAAAUCGUACUUAUUAAUACUAGGAGCUCAUGACGGUACUGUAAGAAUAAGCACCGGCUAACUACGUGCCAGCCGCCGCGGUAA